rnacentral:rRNA from 1 species
UACGAAGGGUGCAAGCGUUAUCCGGAUUCAUUGGGUUUAAAGGGUGCGUAGGUGGCGCGCUAAGUCGGGUGUGAAAUUUCGGAGCUUAACUCCGAAACUGCAUUCGAUACUGGCGUGCUUGAGGACUGGAGAGGAGACUGGAAUUCAUGGUGUAGCAGUGAAAUGCGUAGAGAUCAUGAGGAAGACCAGUGGCGAAGGCGGGUCUCUGGACAGUUCCUGACACUGAGGCACGAAGGCCAGGGGAGCAAACGGG